CAGCAGCCGCGGUAAUACAGAGGGUGCGAGCGUUAAUCGGAUUUACUGGGCGUAAAGCGUGCGUAGGCGGCUUCUUAAGUCGGAUGUGAAAUCCCUGAGCUUAACUUAGGAAUUGCAUUCGAUACUGGGAAGCUAGAGUAUGGGAGAGGAUGGUAGAAUUCCAGGUGUAGCGGUGAAAUGCGUAGAGAUCUGGAGGAAUACCGAUGGCGAAGGCAGCCAUCUGGCCUAAUACUGACGCUGAGGUACGAAAGCAUGGGGAGCAAACAGGAUUAGAUACCCGUGUGUCCCUGUCUCUUAUACA
rnacentral:rRNA from 1 species